rfam:Camelus ferus unplaced genomic scaffold scaffold2807, whole genome shotgun sequence.
GGGGGGGUAGCUCAGUGGUAGAGCGCAUGCUUAGCAGGUAUGAGGUCCCAGGUUCAAUCCCCAGUGCCAUCA